GUUGGGUUAAGUUCCGCAACGAGCGCAACCCUCAUCCUUAGUUACCAUCAGGUAAUGCUGGGGACUUUAAGGAAACUGCCAGUGAUAAACUGGAGGAAGGUGGGGAUGAUGUCAAGUCAUCAUGGCCCUUAUGGAGUGGGCUACACACGUGCUACAAUGGUGGCUACAAUGGGCUGCAAAGUCGCGAGGCUAAGCUAAUCCCUUAAAAGCCAUCUCAGUUCGGAUUGUACUCUGCAACUCGAGUGCAUGAAGUUGGAAUCGCUAGUAAUCGUGGAUCAGCACGCCACGGUGAAUACGUUCUCGGGUCUUGUACACACUGCCCGUCA
rnacentral:rRNA from 1 species